AUUCUUUCAGUUUGGAACAUGCUGGAGUGUGGAGGUUGAAACCAGGUUUGAUGAAGUAUGCCUGUAAACCCACCCUGGAUCCAGCCACAGCACACAGAAACCUCUUUCUGUCUGAGAACAACAGGAAGGUGACAAAUGUGAGAGAGGGCAC